AGUCCAAUUGCUGGAUUGUAUGGCAAGACUGUUUGACUUUGUAAGAAACUGCCAAACUGCCUUCUAAAGUGACUAUGCCAUUUUGCAUUCCCUCCAGCAAU
rnacentral:pre_miRNA from 1 species